rnacentral:lncRNA from 1 species
UACAUUACAGGUGUAAGCAAUGCUUCGAAGCAGUUUAUCGCUAGAACAGAAAGUAUUUCCAAAUAUUCUCGCAUUCCUUUCCAACCAUAAGACAUAGAACAUUUCUGCAAAGGUCAUUUUGAAUAUAUGAGCUCGAGGAGAUUUCCCUUUAGCCUUAUCAAUGAUCCAGUGGACAAACUGUGGCCAAUUCUGUCCAGCAGGUUGUGUUGCUCCAAUCCACUGCAGUGUGUGAUACCUCAGCAGAGUAGCAAA